UACGUAGGUGGCAAGCGUUAUCCGGAUUUACUGGGUGUAAAGGGCGUGUAGGCGGGGACGCAAGUCAGAUGUGAAAACCACGGGCUCAACCUGUGGCCUGCAUUUGAAACUGUGUUUCUUGAGAACUGGAGAGGCAGACGGAAUUCCUAGUGUAGCGGUGAAAUGCGUAGAUAUUAGGAGGAACACCAGUGGCGAAGGCGGUCUGCUGGACAGCAACUGACGCUGAGGCGCGAAAGCGUGGGGAGCAAACAGG
rnacentral:rRNA from 1 species